CCUACGGGAGGCAGCAGUAGGGAAUAUUGCACAAUGGGGGAAACCCUGAUGCAGCAAUGCCGCGUGGAGGAUGAAGGUUUUCGGAUUGUAAACUCCUUUUGUUAGAGAAGAUAAUGACGGUAUCUAACGAAUAAGCACCUGCUAACUCCGUGCCAGCAGCCGCGGUAAUACGGGGGGUGCAAGCGUUACUCGGAAUCGCUGGGCGAAACGAGCGCGUAGGCGGGAUAGCAAGUCAGAUGUGAAAUCCUAUGGCUUAACCAUAUAACAGCAUUUGAAACUGUUAUACUAGAGUAUGGGGGAGGUAAGUGGAAUACUUGGUGUAGGGGUAAAAUCCGUAGAGAUCAGGAGGAAUACUCAUUGCGAAGGCGACCUGCUAGAACAUAACUGACGCGGAUGCGCGAAAGCGUGGGGAGCAAACAGGAUUAGAUAGGGUAGUC
rnacentral:rRNA from 1 species